GUUGAUUGGUUGCUAUGGGCAACUGGUCAAAUUUUCCCCUGCACAGGUUUUGAUAAAUCUCUCUCAUUGGAUUUAAAUUAACCCUUAAAGGAAACCUGUCAGAAGCUUUUUUUAAGUGGUAGAAUGCAGAAGUGUAUUACAUAAUCAAUUGAACUGAAACAUCUGCAGACGCUGGCUCACUCUGGAGCCCCACAGAAGCCGUAUUAUCAGCAGCUGUGACACCACCAUUUGCCAAAAAGGGAUACUUUAAAGAAGAAAUGAUUGUACAUAUGAGGUCAAUGUUUACAAGAUAUGGCUGUCGAUAUGAGCUCCAUGUGAAGUUUCCUUGAUCCUUAUGUGGAAUGUUAAAGGUAAGACCGUUUAUACUUAUUACCUUUUCAACAAUUAAUUAUUGUACAGGAUUCUGAUAUGAUAUUAGCUUUUUUAAUAUUACUGAUGGUUAUAUUUAAGGUGUUCUAAGCCAGAUACAUGUUUCAGUGAUACGGCCAGCUAAAUAUAUUAGAGUUUGAGAAAGGUCCUUCACUAGGUCACAAGUUAAUA